rnacentral:lncRNA from 1 species
AAAAGAUGAAACUAAUCUAUAGUGACAGAAAUUGAGUGGGACAGUUCCCAGAUGCAGAUGUCUGGACAGUUUAAAAGGUGAUCCGAUAUAUUUGGCUCUCAAUAGAUGAACAUUGUCUCUAAUACUCAUUCAGAUAAGCUUUGAAUUCAAGAAUAUCUUCAAGAGGGACAUUAUGCUCCUGAAUCUUUUAUAAAAUGAUCACUACCUAUGAGGAUGGAUGCCAGCGGAACCACAGCUCUCCACACUCUCCCAAGAGCUGCAGGAAAUGACCAUCCCUCAGGUGAGCUCUUUAAUCAUCCCCUAACUUGUAUUGUAAUGAAUUUGUAAGGUUUCGACGGAUCCAUGCGUUAAGUGGAGAAGGAGAAAUAGAAGUAGAUCAAGUCACUCUUGAGGGAGAAUAUACGGUUUUACUGUUAACUGUGAUGUUUGCUGUGAGCUUUUGUAGGGGACCUUGUCAGGGUAAGUAGGUUCCCUCCAGGUACUGGUUUGCUAAGACUUCAUGUUGGUCGUGAAUGUGCAUUGAAUAUUGAUUGCCUUUUGUGCAUCUAGUAGAAUAAAGCUAUAGCUUAUUUCCUUUGAUCUAUAAGU